rnacentral:ncRNA from 1 species
UACUUAUCAAGAGAGGUGGAGGGAUAGGCCCUAUGAAGCCCAGCAACCAAUGUGUUCAUCUACAUAUAUGGUGCUAAAUCCUACAGUAUGAGCUGAAAGAUAAGAA